rnacentral:rRNA from 1 species
GCCACGGCUAACUCGUGCCAGCAGCCGCGGUAAUACGUAGGUGGCAAGCGUUAUCCGGAAUUAUUGGGCGUAAAGCGCGCGUAGGCGGUUUUUUAAGUCUGAUGUGAAAGCCCACGGCUCAACCGUGGAGGGUCAUUGGAAACUGGAAAACUUGAGUGCAGAAGAGGAAAGUGGAAUUCCAUGUGUAGCGGUGAAAUGCGCAGAGAUAUGGAGGAACACCAGUGGCGAAGGCGACUUUCUGGUCUGUAACUGACGCUGAUGUGCGAAAGCGUGGGGAUCAAACAGGAUUAGAUACCCUGGUAGUCCACGCCGUAAACGAUGAGUGCUAAGUGUUAGGGGGUUUCCGCCCCUUAGUGCUGCAGCUAACGCAUUAAGCACUCCGCCUGGGGAGUACGACCGCA